rnacentral:rRNA from 2 species
AACACGCGCCUAGAUAGCAUCUAUCGGUGAACUGCGAAUGGCUCAUUAAAUCAGUUAUCGUUUAUUUGAUAGUACCUUGCUACAUGGAUACCUGUGGUAAUUCUAGAGCUAAUACAUGCUGAAAACCCCGACUUCGGAAGGGGUGUAUUUAUUAGAUAAAAAACCAAUGCCCUUCGGGGCUCCUUGGUGAUUCAUAAUAACUUCACGAAUCGCAUGGCCUUGCGCCGGCGAUGGUUCAUUCAAAUUUCUGCCCUAUCAACUUUCGAUGGUAGGAUAGUGGCCUACCAUGGUGGCAACGGGUAACGGGGAAUUAGGGUUCGAUUCCGGAGAGGGAGCCUGAGAAACGGCUACCACAUCCAAGGAAGGCAGCAGGCGCGCAAAUUACCCAAUCCCGACACGGGGAGGUAGUGACAAUAAAUACUGAUACAGGGCUCUUUUGGGUCUUGUAAUCGGAAUGAGUACAAUCUAAAUCCCUUAACGAGGAACAAUUGGAGGGCAAGUCUGGUGCCAGCAGCCGCGGUAAUUCCAGCUCCAAUAGCGUAUAUUAAAGUUGUUGCAGUUAAAAAGCUCGUAGUUGAACCUUGGGUCUGGCUGGCCGGUCCGCCUCACCGCGAGUACUGGUCCGGCUGGACCUUUCCUUCUGGGGAACCCCAUGGCCUUCACUGGCCGUGGCGGGGAACCAGGACUUUUACUGUGAAAAAAUUAGAGUGUUCAAAGCAGGCCUUUGCUCGAAUACAUUAGCAUGGAAUAAUAGAAUACGACGUGUGGUUCUAUUUUGUUGGUUUCUAGGACCGCCGUAAUGAUUAAUAGGGAUAGUCGGGGGCGUCAGUAUUCAGCUGUCAGAAGUGAAAUUCUUGGAUUUGCUGAAGACUAACUACUGCGAAAGCAUUCGCCAAGGAUGUUUUCAUAAAUCAGGGAACGAAAGUUAGGGGAUCCAAAAAC